rnacentral:rRNA from 1 species
GGGAUAUUGCACAAUGGGGGAAACCCUGAUGCAGCGACGCCGCGUGUGGGAAGACGGUCCUCUGGAUUGUAAACCACUGUCCCCAGGGACGAAGAUGACGGUACCUGGGGAGGAAGCCACGGCUAACUACGUGCCAGCAGCCGCGGUAAUACGUAGGUGGCAAGCGUUGUCCGGAAUUACUGGGUGUAAAGGGAGCGUAGGCGGGAAUGCAAGUUGAAUGUUUAAACUAUGGGCUCAACCCAUAGUCGCGUUCAAAACUGCAUUUCUUGAGUGGAGUAGAGGCAGGCGGAAUUCCUAGUGUAGCGGUGAAAUGCGUAGAUAUUAGGAGGAACACCAGUGGCGAAGGCGGCCUGCUGGGCUUUAACUGACGCUGAGGCUCGAAAGCGUGGGUAGCAAACAG